GACGAACGCUGGCGGCGUGCUUAACACAUGCAAGUCGAACGGAAAGGCCCUGCUUUUGUGGGGUGCUCGAGUGGCGAACGGGUGAGUAACACGUGAGUAACCUGCCCUUGACUUUGGGAUAACUUCAGGAAACUGGGGCUAAUACCGGAUAGGAGCUCCUGCUGCAUGGUGGGGGUUGGAAAGUUUCGGCGGUUGGGGAUGGACUCGCGGCUUAUCAGCUUGUUGGUGGGGUAGUGGCUUACCAAGGCUUUGACGGGUAGCCGGCCUGAGAGGGUGACCGGCCACAUUGGGACUGAGAUACGGCCCAGACUCCUACGGGAGGCAGCAGUGGGGAAUAUGGCACAAGGGGCGGAAGCAUGAUGCAGCAACGCCGCGUGCGGGAUGACGGCCUUCGGGUUGUAAACCGCUUUCGCCUGUGACGAAGCGUGAGUGACGGGAAUGGGUAAAGAAGCACCGGCGAACUACGG
rnacentral:rRNA from 1 species